UUUAUUAUUUUUUUUUUGUUUUAUCCUUGUUAUGUCUAUCACUGGUACAGACCCCUUAUAAUAUAGGUGGUGUGUAGUUAGUGAAUUUACAAGUGACAUAAGUGUGUGUGAGAGAUUAGAGAAACGUAUAAAGAAUAUGUCCUCGUAUAAAUGUUCAUUUCUGUAAUUAUGACAAUUUGUUUUCUAGACUAUUGAACUAAGGUGGUUUAUUAAGAUGAAGCCUGCUAUUGUUUUGGACAUGUUCACUUUGUAGCUACACUGGACAAUCCAAUCCUCACUAAAAUCCAUUAAAAUUAAACAGUCAAAUCAUACUUAAUCAACCUUCGAAUGUUCAAUUUCUAAACGAUUAACUCUCGUAUGAACUUUUAUCCUAAUCAUCACAUACCGUCAACGUCAUUACUUUAAUUUUAAAAAAUGUUGUCCUGGUUUAUUUCAAGCUUACUUUUUAAUACUUGGAAAUUAUUGGCAACACAGAGUUAUGAUCGAUGAUCUUUAAUAAUUUUAUUUAUUGGAAGAAUGCAUGAAAGUCUGUGAAAGUUGCUGUUACGCCACUUGCUUUUCAAUUAUUUUACUUGUGGAAAUAAUUAUUAAUUAAAAGCUUCUCCCAUUUUCAGUAUUGGCUUUUGCUUAGUGGGGGGGGAAAGAAAAGAUACGGUGGUAGAUACGGCACCCAAUUCAUUGUCGUUUUUGUUUGCUUUGACUCCCUUGAUUAGGUGACGUUUGGUGAGACGAGAAACCCCAAGCCUUAAUUUUUACUUAUUUAUCCUUUCUUAAUUAUCUUAUUCCUUCAAACUAUCGCACCCAGGCAAACAAGGAGGAAAAAAUAUCAGUAUCUGAGUAGGUGGAGGUGUUGGAAACUUUGAUUUUAAGAACAUCAUGGGCAUGAUUUAAAAAUAUACUAGACAAAGAUUUCAAUUUUACCCCAAAGACACUAAACAAAAAGUGGUAAUUAUUUGAAAAAUAUACAAUUACCAUUUUGUGUAUGAUUUAGUUUUGGGUUCUUUUACUUUUGGCUGUUUAGUUUUUUGACAACUAUGUAUGUGUUUACCAUUAAUAGCGUGGACUUUUAAUCAACUACUUCUUUUUGUAAACAUGGGUUUAUUUAUUGCACAUUAUUUAUCUUUACACCCUUGAAUUAAAAUGCAUCAAUUUCGAAUUAACUCAUUCAUUGGGUAUUUCAAAAAAUAUUGUAACAAUCAUUAAAGCAGUUUGGGCCGAAUAAUUAAUUAGAUUAUAUAUCAAUAUACUUAGACCAUCUCCAUCUCAAAAUUUGUUUAUAAAUUUUUAAUUAUGUUCACGGUGCCACGUCAACUGGUUUAACAAUUCAUUAAAUGAAUAAUUUUUAAUCACCUUCAUCCCUAAUUUAUUUAGUAAUUUCUAUUCAUCAUUUAAAUAUUUCUUAACGAUAUUUUUGACCAAUAGUAAUAAAUCAUUCAUAAUAUAAAUCCUAAUUAUAAAUAUUUUUUCUUAAAAAAUUAUCAAUUUGCCUAUAUAGCAUUGCUAAUUAAUUUUCUAAAUUAAAAUUUGUCACCUCAUUUUUUACAUCAUUGUUAAAAUUUUGUAAUAUUUUGUAAUGAAGAUGCAUUUGUAAUUUUUUAAAUAUUGUUUUAAAAUAGAAUUUACAGUUGAAAUCACAUUUUUAUCUAUGUAAACUAUGGUUCCAAUGACGAGUGAAUUUUUACCUUUUUACUGACGUAAUAAUAAUCAAGAUUAUUCAAGCCGCAUGACUUUUAUGUGAUUUUGUCAAAUAUUCGUUCUUAUUAUGGAAAGCUACCGACUUACACGCUCAGGUAAAGAGAAAACCCCCACGUGUCGGCAGGACAUGAAUUAUGGGGCUCUAAAAUGGGACCCACCACACAUGCAUUGCUGAGUUGGUGGCCACUUGGCAUCGAUGCCAAUUCAUUGCAUUCAACAACAUGCUUCUCUAUGCCAAUUUUCGGUCAACGUUCAACGCAUGGCUCCCAAGUUUCAUUCAUCAUUCACCCUUCGAUUUGUUCACAUAUCAUUUGAAGAUACUAUUACUCUUGUCCAAUACCAAUAUGGUCAAAAACAAUUCAGCAAAAGUUUAAAUGAAUAUGAAAGUUACUUUGGAUGAAAUUUGAAAAUAUAAGAAGUAUAUAUUUUGAUGUUUAAAAUUUUACAUACAAUUUUGUGAUUUUGUAAAGGAAAGAAAGAUUCUAGAUGGUUGUUUAAAUUUGUUCAUUUUUUAUUUCGCUAUUAAUGUUGUUUAGGUUUGGGACAAGAUGAGUAUAUAGUCAAAAUUAUAGUUUUAAUUGUGUACAUUGGAUGGAGAAUUAUUGGAUAUUAAUAACUUGAAUUAUUUGAAUGGUUCAUAAUUAUAUUUUAUAGCAUCAUAUUACUACACACACCCUUUAAACAAAAUCUCAUGAAAGGAUGAAAUUUGUACAAGUUUACCAAACUUCGCGCAUAUGAAAUUGUUAUAUUGGGGCUGACAAAAUUCAACCUCAAGACCUUUUAGUCAAAUUGAACAAUGAAAAAGUUCUAAUAUUAUGUGAAAAAACCAUUACAUUUCAAUAACUUCCAUUGUUAGGAUAGGCCGAUCAUUAGUUUUAUAGCAUACCUUUACAUACUAAACAAUGUUUGAUCAUGAUUAAAAAAUGUCUAAUAUUGAAUAUUGGUGUACCGUGUCCAUACAUUUUAUUGAAAGCUACAAUGGUUAAGUUGAAUAAACAUUUUACUAAUACAAAAUGAACAUACAACGCGUAAUCUAUAACUCAACGGACUCAAAUCGUUAUCCACCUAACCCGUCAGUUUGACAACUACAUUAUUUCACUAACUUUGUUAUAAUUAAAGUUUUGAUUUGAGAGGCCUUUUCUUGACCAAAUAAUUUUCAACUCAAAAUAAAAAUGAAAAAUUGGGAUGGUGCCAAGCAUUGCAGUCUUGUCUCAUCUCUCCAGCCACCGUACUCCUCCGGCCCCCGGCCGUCCUCCAUUUUUCCUGUUACCUUUCCUUUGUUGUUUCCCCCAUAUCACAUAAGAAGAUUGACCCCCAUUGAAAAAAAACCCAUAUUAAAAUGGGAUUUCUUUCAGAGUUCAUCUUUAUCAGAAAAAACCCAUUCAUUAAUUCCCCAUCUUUAAAUUAAUCCGGAAAAAAGGAUUGGUGGGUAGGAAGGAUAAAAAGAAAUCGAAAGCCAAGUAGAAAGUCAGUCGUUUUCUUUGAAAUUUAGAAGACAAGCAGAUUUCCACACAACUGGGUUUUCUUCCUCCUCCUACUUCUCUGAAUCUCUGUUGUAAAUUUCGUCACACAAUAAACAAAACCUCCGUAGCUGAAGCUGAGAGCAGAAUGGGAAUGGCGAGCUCUGUUUGAAAUCUGGAAAAAAAAUUCAAACAGUCGAGAGAUGGGUGGGUGUGUGUCGACGCCGAGAGCAUGCGUCGGCGGUGGCGAGAGAUUGAGGCCAUCGUCGGAGAAGAAGAAAGUUGGUAGAAGAAAGAGGAAGAAGUUAUUAACAACCACUCAUCACAAGAAGUCUUCCAGAUUAUCCGACGCAUCGUCGCUGGAAAAUCAGCAGACGGUUACUGCUGCUUCUGCUGCUGUGUCGUCUGAUCAUCUUCCUCCUCGAACUUCUUUCAAUCAUAUCAACCCUUCUUUCCAAGGUCUCUGCUUUUUCUUCUUCUGCUCUGUUUUCCCCCCUCUGCUUUCUGAUCUCAAUGAAUGCCAAGUUUUUUUGUUGCUUUGUUCUGCAUUUUUGCUGUUAGUGGUAAAGGUAAUGUCUUUUUUGGUGUGAUGUAAGUCUGUAACUCAAGCUAGUGGAGUUUUUUUGUCCUUGUUGUAAAGCUACUUUUUUGGUUAUGGGGGGUUUUGGAUUUUUGAUGAUUACAAGGCUGGUGAUGUAACAUUGGCGGUCUUGCUUUGUGUUCUGAUUCAAUGCAUUUCAAGAGUUGGUUUCUUUCCCUGCUAAGGUACAUUGUAAUGUGUAGUUAGGCUGCCAUAGUCUCAUUUUUGAAGGAUCUUUAAGCUGGUUUUGGAACCAUGGCAUCCUAAUAGCUCGAAUUGUUGGAAGAUGAUUCGGAUUGGUUUCAUAUCAUUCAUUAAUCCUUCAUAUGUUCGGAUUCUAAACUGGAGAGUUGUUCUUUGAAUGUGCAGCUGCAAGCAUUGAGGAGGCAUGGUUUGAUACAAUAGCAGCAUUGGACUCUGAUGGCGAUGAGGAUUUCCAAAGUGUCUCAGAUGGUACGUUAAUGUUACCUUUUUGUGGGGUUCUGGUUAGAUGUUUUUGUGGUUAUAAAAGCUAUGAACUUUUCAUUGUUCUUGCAGAUAUCUUGUCUCAAAACGGGUCUGAAGGUGUCCGAUUGUCGAAUGCUACACUUCAUGGUUCUUUAUGGCCGAGUCAAGUGAAGCAACAACCGGUGUUCCUCGACGAGAUAUCGGUGGAGGAAAACGAUGAUAAGGAGGAAGGGCUGUUGGAUAACUGUGGUAUCCUUCCUGGUAACUGCUUGCCUUGCCUUGCUUCGACCACCGUUCCACCGGUGGAGAAGAGGCGAUCGCUUAGCUCGAGCCCUCCCAGCACUAGGAAGAGAGCUGCUAGCAAAAUGUCCUUCAAGUGGAAGGAAGGACAUGUCAAUAACCCCUUGUGUGAGUAAAAUUCUAGCUUAUCUUUUGGACAUAAUCAAGUGACGAACCCUGAAAUAUAAAUAAAAUUAUGUAAUACCCGAGCUCUGUAGGCUGAGCAAUGGCCUAGGGAGAGGCUCUCCUAGAUCCGUCACUGAUUGCUUGUUUGUCAUGUAAUGCCGUGGUCUUGCAGUCUCUUCGAAGAUGAUUCUACAUAGGCCAAUAGCUGGAUCUCAAGUCCCCUUCUGCCCUAUUGAUAAGAAAAUGCUCGAUUGUUGGUCUCACAUUGAUCCAGGCAGUUUCAAAGUUCGUGCUCCGAAUUACUUCAGGUAAUGGCUGGAACAAUGUGAGUUCCUAUCUAGGUUACAUGCAAUUAUAACCAGUUACUGAACUUAUCUCUUGCUAUUCCAGAGACAAGAAGAAGGAGCUUGCCCCCAACUAUGCUGCAUACUAUCCUUUCGGAGUUGAUGUGUUCUUAUCUCCUCGAAAAGUCGAUCACAUUGCUCAAUUUGUGGAGCUUCCUGUGACUAACACCUCAGGGAAGCUCCCAUCUAUCCUUGUUGUAAAUGUUCAAGUAAGUUCCUUUUCGCUUCUUCGAUCGUAUCGUAUGUAUCUUUCUGUUGGCAUCUGAUUCUCGUGGACUUAUCCUUUCUCCCCUUUUUGUUUAGAUUCCAUUGUAUCCUGCUGCAAUUUUUCAAGGGGAAACUGAUGGAGAAGGAAUGAGCAUUGUGCUGUAUUUCAAGCUUAAUGACAGUUACUUGAAGGAACUCCCAACUAAUUUCCAAGACAGUAUUAGAGUAAAAGCUCCCAUCUUUAUGCUGUUAUCUUGAUCUUCAUACUUAAUUUUGAUUACUCAUUGUCCAUUUACUUCUUGAAAACAGCGGUUAAUCGAUGAUGAGGUAGAGAAAGUGAGGGGCUUUGCUGUUGAUACAAUUGUGCCCUAUCGAGAACGGUUGAAGAUCUUGGGACGCGUUGUGAAUGUAGAUGAUCUCCAUUUAAAUGGUCCUGAGAGGAAACUUAUGCAGGCUUACAACGAAAAGCCUGUCCUUUCGCGUCCUCAGCAUCAAUUCUACUCAGUAUGUUUUACUGCUCUAGUUUAUGAGUUCAUCCAUCAUGGAAGAAUGAAUCCUUCUGACACGUUUUCAACGAUUUAUAGGGCGAAAACUACUUCGAGAUCGACAUAGACAUGCAUCGGUUCAGUUACAUAUCUAGAAAAGGUUUUGAAGCGUUCCUUGACAGACUCAAGAUCUGUGUACUUGAUGUUGGCCUCACUAUUCAGGCAAGAUACAAUCUAAUUACUACCACUCUUCCUUGUUCUCCAUUGAUGCUUCCUUGUGGAAUCUUGAAUCUGAAUUUCUGGUUGACAUUUAACAGGGAAACAAGGCUGAAGAGCUGCCAGAGCAGAUCUUAUGCUGCAUAAGGCUAAACGGGAUCGACUACAUGAACUAUCACCAGCUAGGGAUGAAUCAAGAUCCUCUUGAUUUCAUAAGUGCUUAGAAGUUCUUCAUCCUUUGGAAUCAAGAAAUAAAAAUGAUAAGGGCUCAGCUAGUAAUUCUUUUUAGAGUACAAAUCAAAAACUUCCUGUUUGUGUUGUCUCUUCCCAUCUUUUUGUAUGUGCAUAUAGAGAGAGCAGAUUUUUGCUGUGAACAAAAAGGUGGGAACUUUAUAACAGGUUGUGAUGUGAAAUUGUAUAAAAUGGGAUUUUUCUUGUUCAUCAGUCUCUACCAGUUCUUGUGUUGAUUACAAGGUAUCUCUCUGGUGGCCUACUUUUUCUUGUUUCUUCCUCCUUUCCCCCCAUUUCAUUUUCCUCUUGUGUUCUUGUCCUGUUGCAAAGUACUGAUUAAGAAGUCACUAUCCACCAACUUGUUUUGGAGUUUCAAGAAGGAUUCUCACAAAGGUUAGCACCUGCAGAAUCUGGACUGCUGUCAUUCUUAAAAUCACAUAACAAACACAUGGUACAUUUUCAGUAAAUAAUGUGAGCAAGGAUUGGGGUUAUUUGAAUUUGAGAUGGAGACCUCUUGGUCUGUUCAAACUUUGAUACCAUACAAUAAACUAUUGUAUCUCAAUAAUUUGAGUUGUUGAAAGAGGAAGAGGGUUCGGAUUGAAGUACCAAGUGUCGUCAAAUUCCAUCGAGCAUCUAAAGAAAUAUUGGUGUUCAAAGUAGUUUUUCCAGUCAUUAGAGUAAGAGUUUGAUAAACUUUUGUGAGUACUAUGAUGUUAGAAAUCGACAGACAAUAAACAAAAGAAAGAUAGAUUAUAAGAGAGACAACAUCAACUUUUUGACUUGGAAAACCCUAUCAAGAAAAAAGUUACAGGCGCACAACGACGAUAAAAACUUCACUGUAAUGAAAGAGUUAUAGCUUAUAGUGAUUUACUUGAACCUCUCUAUCUCCCUCUCAUAAAGUCAUAUUUCUUCUCAUAGCUAAUAACGGGUUUAUAUAGACGGAUGGUAUAAAAUCCGAAUAAGACCCUAUUGGGCAAGCCCGUAAACAAGGAAUUUGGAUCACUACAUUUCAACAUAUGACUCACUCACUUACUCGAACCAAGUGUUUUCUAACUAUCAUCAUCACCCGACCGGAGGAUAGUCACCUGACACGGACAUAUUAAUCGAUCGAUCCUUUCGAACCAGUUGAGAGAUUCCUGUCAUGUUUUCCUUAUCGGCACUUUCGCUGGCUAUAUGAAGAGAGCUCAUUAAACCAACUUGGGGGGUGUUCAUUAAUAACUGUGAAAACAACAGAUACCAGUUUACUAUUAGAUGGUGUUUCAGGAGGUACAAUUUAGCAUGUGUUGUGUAAAAAGAUACAUGGGAUGUGGAACCUUUCACCAGUUAGUUGCUGCUGUAGCAGCAUCAAUUGAUUGCUGCUGUGUUUAGAUGUUGUGAAAAAUUUAAUGAAGUGAUGUAGACUUCUCAAUAAGUUUGACAUCCUGCUUUGAGAGAUGCCAAUAUCAAUACAAACUCCACCACCAUCACCAAAAUAUAACUGCAAUAAAACCAAUUGAAUAACUAGUGGAAUUGGUGGUGUUUGAGUCAUAACAGAUGCUUCUUUCCAUGGAGUUGAUGAUGAACAACAUGAUGAUGUUGUUGUGAUAGUGUUCUGCUUGGUUGAAUGGAGGAAUCAGGGUGGCCGAAUCUAGUCCAUUGUCGAGAGUUCUCGGUUCCAAAGUGACGAAUAUUUAUGGGAAAAUGUUCAAAAUUGAAGUUUUUGCCUAGUGUGUUUUCAAAUUUUGCCAAAUGUAAGGUUUAAAUUCAUCCCGAACUUGAAAUUUUGUCAAGAAUUCCGACUAUCCUGGUUCCACUAUUGAAUCCAAAUUCAUGCAAAGACCGAUGAAAAUGGAGUGUAAAACAUUCAUUUUUUCCACUACAUAAAUUCAUAUAUUACUCUUUUAUGAUAAAUUUUUAUGUUCGUCUUGUACAUUGGUAAACGGUAAUCCUUUUGGGAUUGUAAACUUGUUAUUAUCGAUGACAUCUGACUAUGUGUUAUUAAGAAAAAUAAGAUAUCAUGCUAUUUUAGUAUUCAAUAUAAAUUUCGCAGCCUUAAAAAAAGAAUAUAUCGAUGUGUUAUGAUACAUAAAUAGACCAAACCAGCCCUUUACUUUUAAAUAGUAACAACAUAAUACAAGAAGACUCUAAUCCCAUUCCCAAUUUACCUUAUCACAUAAUUUCCUUUCUAAAUUAACCCCUUUCUUUCCCCAAACCCUAAUUUGCUAACCCAUUGAAAAAGAGUAAUUGAGAAAAUUAAUUGCUCAAAAGAUACAAAACAUUACACACCAAUCUUUAUUGGCCACAUAAUUAUUAUUCCUUUUAAAAAAACCCCAUAAAAAUCACAAUUUUUGCACAAAUUAGCAUCCCAUCACUUUCUCUUUAAUCUCAUCAACCUUCGACGGCGACGACGACUUCUUCUUCUCCGCCGCGACGAUCCCAUCGUUUCCGGCCAACGCUCUGUACUUAUCCUUCCUAGUAAAACCAGUGCACUCAUACGACAGCGUAGCGGCAAUCACUCUCUGUAUAUAGUUCGCCACUUCAACACUCGACUUCCCUCCUCGCGAACACGUCAGCUCCUCUGGCAACUUACUCAAAAACGUCACCUCAUAUGCCGGACUAGGAUUCAUAAAAAAAUAGAACGGAUCCAUCCCUUUCCACCCCCUCGCCGUCGUGCCGUGGAACAUCCCCAGCCGAUUCCCCAUCGCCACGGGGACGAUCUCGUCGGUCAAUUCGGCGAAGAGAGCUGAGAAUCGGAGCAGAAACGGUUCACGGCAAGUGGUCCCUUCGGGGCAGAUCACCAAAUCUCCUUCGCGGAGGAGCGAUUUGAUCAUGGCGGCGUCGGCGGCGCGGUCGCGGUUGAGGCGGACGGUCUUGAUCGGGGAGAUGAUUUCGGAGAGGCGGGAGACGGAGUAGACGACUGCGGUGGUGGGGCGGCCCAAGGCGGUGGAGAGGAAGAUCGGGUCGAGGAGGGUACGGUGGGAGCAGACGAAGAGGACGCCGGUGGAGUUUUUGUCUGUCGGCGGCGGCGGCGGGUGGCCGCGGAUCGUGACGCGGACGCCGAGGGCGGUGAAGGCGUAGUAGACUAAGGGCAUCGGGAGGAGGGCGCCGGCGGCGAUUCGGAGGCAGGCGAGGAGGAAUCCAAUGGGGAUCCAGAGGAUUGUGAGGAGGGCGAUGAGCGGGGUGGGUUUCUGGACGAGGCGGCCGUCGUGGAAGACGAUCGGUUUCGGGAGCUUGUCGGCGGUGACGGGUCGGGUUUUCGGGUUCGGUGGGACCAUGUAGCCUUCCUGCAAAUAUUUUGCGUAUUUUCCGCGGGAGUCGUUAGUUAGUACUAUUAAGAUAUGAGCAUGUCAUCAAAAGCUUACCAACCGGCAACCGUUGCGUUUGAAGUUUGGUAAAUUUAAUACGAAAAAGUCAACACGCCAUCAUGUUAAUUUUUUCUUUCCCAUGUUAUGUUCUCGUAAAAAAAUUAUUUCGUCCCAAUAACACAUUCAUUUAUGAAAAAAUAUAAAGUUGAGCUUUAGUAAACUAUAGUGCAACAUGUUAAAGGCCAUGGAGAUUUCAUUCUCUAACAUUUUAUCGAUCAAAUAUUUUGACAUCAUGUUACGAAUUAUUAUAUUACAGUGAUUUAAGUUGUUACCUUAUCAAAAUUGUUUUUGUAUUACUUUUUAGCCGUGUCAAAAUUUAGAUCUUUAACUUGAACUAUUAGUUUAGUAAGUAGCAUAAUAAUGAAAACAUAUUGACAAUCAUUUACAAACCUAGCUCUCGUCGAUGAUUUUGAGUAAAUUUGAUUGACGUAACUAUUUAUCCGUGAUGGGUACGAUACAAAAUUCUGUAUAAAUUUAUUUUUCUUUUUUAUAUAGAUGUGACUUAAUGAUAUGUGCAUAUCUAAUCAGUUAUCAAUCAUAAUUAUAAUCAUAAAUAUAUCAUCAUAAUCAUCUAUUAUCCGACUCCUCAAACAUCUAAUAGAUGUAUGAGGACUUUGUUGGGCCACCAUAUUUUCAACUUCGGUCUAAUACGUUUCAAAGCGGAUACAAUCCGGCUCAACUCCCCUGAAGAAUUUGUCAUUGUCAUGACCAACCACUAAAUCGGCUCAUUAUAAAGAUAUAGAUCACUAUUAAUAUCAAAGGGAAGCACCCAAAUUAGUUGGAUCCACUCUCCAUCUACUUUCAAUUACAUGAGUUAAGAGCUAUAAUAAAUUCUCAAAACGUUAUGUCCACGAAAUUGACCAUUCAAAGCCUUUGGUAACGCUUAUACUAAAAUGGCAAAAAGGUUGAAUCAUAAUACGAUGAGUUUGGUCAAAUCCCCAUCGUAAAAAAUAAACAAAAGGAAUGAUGUCAAAGCAAUUAAUUCAUGUAUGGUUAGGAGUUAAACCAAACUAAUUAUUCGGCACUAAUUACUUUCCCAAAAAACAACGAGACACGACCAUGUACAAGUGUACAACACACCCAUGCAAAAAAAGAAGUUAACCGGGUUGUUAUAAUUAGGAUCGGAUCGGUCAAUUUGGUCUGACCUAAAAACCUUAAUUAAUUAAAAAACUUUAGUUCAGAAAUUUUCAGGUUGAUUUUUGUAGUCAAUGAGAAACGAUAAUUCAUUCUAUAACGUAUGAAUAUAAUUCACGAAUUAUACAAUCAUGAAUGUUAAAUUACUAUGUAUAUUAUAUAUUUAUAAAUCAUGCGGUCGAAUUUUUUAUUUGAGCAGGUUAUUAUGAAUUCGAUUGUGUGUGAAUUUCUUACUUAUCUGGUUUUUGGAAUAUUAAAAAAACAAAACCAAAAAACCAACCUUGCAAAGCGCCAUAAACGGCUCGUCGGUGUGCCGGUCGCCGAGUCCAACCUCCGGCUGGAACUCCCCAAACGCCUCCACAAGCGCGUGAGCCUUACUCUCCCCAACCAAUACCCCUUCAGCUCCUUUCACAAACCCAGUGGCGCGUCCCUUAUACGUGGAAAUCUCCGUCCCCAGAACCAAGUCAACGCCAAGGAAUUCCUUGAGUGUGGGCUCCACCAUGAUCCGAGGGUUGGCGGUGAGGACGACACGCCGCCCCCCCGUGGAGAACACCCGCCAGGACUCCGGAUGGAGGUCGGAGGUGUAGAAUUUCGGGAGGACGGCGCGUGCGACGGACUCGAUCUCGGAGACUUUCAUUCCGGCGAAGGUGGCGAAGAUGAGGACCUGGAUGCCGGCCUUUUCGGAGACCAAGUAGUAGAGUAGGCCGGCGAUCGGGGAGAGCAAGAGGAGGAGGAGGAGGCGGAGGAUGCCGCCGGCCUCGAAUGCGACCAAGGCGAAGUAAGGGAAUGAGCUCCGGCCGACGAGGAGUGUGCCGUCCAUGUCGGCUACCACUGUGUGGCUUUCGCGGCCCGUGGAGUCGCAUUUUUCCACCGUGGAGAAUAUCGCCGCCGUCGCCGUCAUGGUGGUGGUGGAUAUAGAAGAGAGAAAGUUAAAGCUUUAGGUGGUGGUGUGGAAGAGAAAUGUGGUGGUCAUGGGGAUGGAGGGAUUUAUAAUAAGGGGAGCAUUUGAAGUAGACAACAAAAUUGGAAUAGUGGAUGCUGAUGGUUAGGGAUGAGCAAACAAUAAAUUAACUUGUUUGGAAUAAGUAAAUUGUUUUUGCUUUUUUUCAGGUGUUAGGAGCUUGUGAAUGGGGUAGAUUUUGUCAAAAAUGGAUUGAGGUCGGUUCGAUCGUUCUUAUUUAUCGAUUUUGAUUUAGUGACUCGUUAAAAAGUUCGUGUGUUGAGGUUUUAGAUAAGACGAAUCAGGAGUUUGGGAUAGGGUAGUUUUUGUCAAAAUUGGAUCAAGGCGGGCUCGAUCGGUCUUAAUUAUCAAUUUUGGUUUAGUGAUUUGUCAAAAUAGUUGAAAACGUGUAUUGAUCUGGUUGGACCUGAAAUUUUAGAUAUCAUGUACAAUCUAUUGUCAUGCGAGAUUUUUGUAAAUAAUUAAAAUAAUUAUGUUGGCUGAUAUAAUUUUUGUAGAUAUAAACAAAAUUUUGGUCUAAAUUACUUGUUAUAAUAAUACUAUAGGAUGAUCGGAAUAAGUUGACGUACUAUAUAUCAUAUUUGGUUUUUGUAAAUUACUUCAAGUAAUGGUAUCUCACAACACAUAUAUACGUUGGUUUCUUCUGAUUACUUUGCUAAUAAUCAACGUUGGGUUCGUUGGUCUAAAUAGAGUAGUUUAGUUGGUAAAUUUGUGGGUUGGUAAUAUAAGGUCAUUAAGUUCGAAUUCAAUUAUAUUUUCAUUUAUAUAGUGUGACAAAAAUUCAAAUCCGAUACCUGAAUCGACAACACACCACUCUUAGACAAAAUUGAAACGUUGGGUUGCAGAUUGCGGAUUUGCACACUAAUUAAACACAUUCAACAGUCAACAAGAGUACAGGGUUGGGUUGACCAGAGCAUGACAAGGGCCGACGUUCUUUCCGCCAAAUGCAGGGGGGAUUAACGAGGAAUAAUUAUGGGUUUGUAAAUUGCAGUUAAGUUAGUCGUUAAUAUUAACAAAGGAAAAAGUGUAGUUUGUCACAGAGACGACAAGAAAAAUAAGGUUGGAAACAUCGUCAGGAGUUUGUCCCACUUGUGACUGGCGGGUUUAAUUCUAUAGCCAAGCUUUGCUAAUUGCAAUUUCGAUGGCUACAUUUGUUGUUGACAGGUUGAACCAACAUUAAUUUUAAUUAAGUAUACAAAUACAACACUCUUUUGUCUUUGGCAAAUGCUAUACAAGUACGACUAUACUCAAGUCCCGGUGUUGUCGUCUUAGGAUAGUUGUAAAUUUAUAAAUAUAUCGAUUUAAUCAGUUUGAUUUAUGAUAAUUUUUAUUGGCAAUGAUAAUCAUUCGAGGGUCCGCUCAGUUACAUAUGAAAAAGUAUAUUAAUUAUCUUGUAAAUAGAGGAGGUUUCCGCACAUAUAUCCGUCACUUGUAUUAAGAAUAGUUUGCUAAAUCAGAAAUUAACUAUAGUUAAUUAUUGAAAUUAACCCCAAUCUUUUUAAUAAAAUUGAUAAGAACGAAACAUCGAUUAAACCGAUUAAAAAACCCAAUUGGUUGAAUUAAAAGUUAGCCAUCAAUAUUUGGUAUUAGACUCCAUGACCCAACAAAAUUAAGACACAAAGCAUACUUAAAGCCUUUUAACGGUUGGCGACCACCCACACAACUGCACCAUGAAGAAAAGUCGUAUAGAAAAAGAAAAGUCAUAGACUCAAUUGUUAGGAACUUAUUAAUGUCAUAUAUACAGUUAUUAGAUAUAACUAAAUGAAACCCCUAAUACAUACAGUUAUAAAACUACCAACUUUUUCCUUUUAAUACGAAGCGAUGUCGCCGUCGGAUGAACUCUGAUGUUUUCGGGUGUCAACUCAGAUGAGACCGGUGAUGCCAUCACAUGUGCUCUUAAAUGAUUGCGUAUUUAUGACUUUAAACUCAUGAUAUUUGGAAAAAAAUCAAAUACUACAACCACUCGAUUACAAAUUAUUUGGUCAAUAAUUAUAACCGACUAUAUACUCGGUUUGAAUACAAUAUAAUUUUUUUAUAAAAAAUCACCCAUCAUAAUAUUAUUCUCGUCCAAAACAUGUUAACUUUUGAAUUCUGAUAAGAUUUGCAACGGUUAUGGCAGCAAAGGGCAUAGCACAAGAAGUCUGCGGUCGCUGGGCCAAUAUAUCGAACCCAAAUAAAUUGGGCCGGGCCUCAAAGGUUUAGUUGGAAUUUUUCAGUUAACCAUCUAUUAUUCCACCAAAUGUGAUUUUGGUUUAGGCUAGCUGGCGAAUAAUAGAUAGAUAAUGGGAUUGCCCACUGCAGCCAACAUAGUUGAUGAUUGGUCCAGGGUUGAUAACUCGCCAUACAUGACUAUGAUUAUGUGUGGUACGUUUGAGUUUUCACAUCCACACAACAAUGCAUACCUUGCGAGUUUUGGCCUUUUUGGGAGAGAAUAUCUAAACGUACAUAAUUUAGUUUAUGGAAAGCGAGAUUGCAAACUUGCAUGAUAUAUAUUAGAUUCUGAUCAGAUGGUCAAAAUUGAGCAUAUUUGUCGCAAGGGUAUAUAACGUAACUGUAUAUUACCUUGCUAACAUUGGUUAUAUAUAUUUGGCUUAUUUGUGUUCAUAUUACCUUGGUCAUAUAUAUUCAGCUUAUUGGUCAUAUAUAUUCUGCUUAUUGGUGUUCAAAACAUAGCACCCCAUAUAUUACCUAUGAAAUUUGACUUUGACUUAUGACUUGUUUGAUAUAUUUUUAUGUUCUACUUCAUUUUGAAUGAAAGAUAGGUAUUGUGAUUUUAAGAAAAUGGAAUUUUAGUUAAAGAUUGGGGAGUUACAUCGUUCGGUUGUUCACUGUGAUAUAUAUUGUCUAAUAUAUUUCAACUAAUUUUUGGAUUUUGAACUCGGAUAUAAUAUAAGUUUUUUGUAUAGAUGUAAAUUAACAUAUUUCAUAUAUGUUGUAUAAUAUAUUUCAACUUCUAUCCACNNNNNNNNNNNNNNNNNNNNNNNNNNNNNNNNNNNNNNNNNNNNNNNNNNNNNNNNNNNNNNNNNNNNNNNNNNNNNNNNNNNNNNACAAAAGGGGGCCAUUACAGAAGAUGUCACCUAUCACUAAUUUCUUGAAUAUAUCAAAGUGAAAGAGGUUGGAAUGUAUAGUUAAUAGAUGACAUCAACUUUUCCCAUGGAUGGAAUUGGACAGGUUUGAUGAUGCUACCAAUGCUUUCAGCACAUAUAAUUUCAUUGUGGCUGAAAUCAAAAUAUUAUACCCAAAAUAAAAAGAAAAUCAUAAAAAACGGGAAACGAUAUAUUAAAUUAUCGAUUACAUGACGUUACGUAAUUGUAAGCAGUUCUGAUUAAUGGCGGAGCUAUUAAGGAAGGAGGGGGGUUAGCCGAACCCCUUACCUUACAAACAAGAGUCACCUAUUACUCACAAAAGUCCUUCGAAACCUCUAUGGAUUAAUCCUAUUACUAACUGUAAAGGAGUUUAAUUAGUAUAAUUACUAGCAGCUUUUUUAUACGGUCAGUAGUUAAUAAUUUUAACCAUAAUCAUUUAUCAAUCAUAUUUUAUACAUUAAAUAAGAUAAGCCAAUUUGAAAAUUUUCAUGUCAAAAUGACUCAUUUUCAUAGGUUAACCUUUUUGGAAAUUGACCAAUUUUGACAUGAAAGUUCAAAUUAGUUAAUAUUUUAUAUGUAUAUUGGGAAUAGUUAAGAAUUAAAAUUUCACAAUGUUAACCCUUUAAAUAAUGGAUAAAUGAAAUUAGAAAGACAUUUUUUAAAGGUUUUAAUUGUUGGUGUUAGUGAGAUAUAUGUAUUUUUAAUUAUAAAAAUUUUAAUUUAAAUUUCUAAUAAUUUUCUGCCAUAUAUUAUUAAAUACAAAUUUCGAACCCAUCGCUUUGGGUCAAUGGCCGCACCGAACAAGUUAAAAAAGCUUUUCUUAUCAUUACAACGCAUAACUCAAAAUAGUACAAAGGGGGUAAAUUUAGUCCUAAUCAUUUGGAGACAUUUGCAUGCUAAUGUUCCAAAUAACUAAAUACAAAACAUUUAAAUAUCAUCCCCAUGCAAGUUGCUGCUAAUUUAACACGUUCUUUAUUUAAUAAUAAUUUCCUCUUUGUGAAAAAGACAUGACGACUUUGGUCCUAUUAUUGUACUCGGUCUUUCAAACGCGGCAACUCGCUUUCUUCCCCUGCAAACACACACACAUACCAAGACACAAGUUAGUUUAGGCGUCGUUUGGUACAGAGUAUCGAGUACUAAAUCGAGAAAAAAAUGUCAAGAACCGUUACAUCUCAAAUUGUUGAAAGAGGUUCAAAUUGGUUUUGUAUAUAGUAUUCAUUAACAUAUCCUCUCAAACAGAAGCUCUAAGAUGAGCCGAGGUUCACACGGUAAGUCAUGGGGGUGACCGGAAUUUGAUCGGAGGCUUCUCAGUUUUUUAAGGCUCUAAUACCAUGUUAAGAACUGUUGCAUUCCAAUAACUCGAGUUUGUUAAAAUAGAGUUCAGAUUGAUUUUAUAGUAUUUCAUUGAUAAAAACUUGCUUAUAAUGUUUGGUAUGUAUAUUUGGUAAUAAAUAAUAGUAAAAGAUAGUAUAACAAAAAUAAUUGAAAAAUCUGUGAUACGGAAACAGGGUUUUGAAAUAAUUUGUCACUAAUAAAAAUAUGUUUAAUUAUUUCAAAUUAAAUAAUUUUCCCGCUAACCCAAUUAUAUUUCUCUAUAUGCCAAACAGCCCCUUAUCCAAUUAUUGAAUUAUGUGUGACUUAGUUUGAAAUAUCGGUAAUGAUAUUAUUACCUUGGGGGGUUGACUGAUCUAGACGUGGUGUGGUGGAGGAGGUGAAGCAUAGAUGUAAUGCGGAGGUGGCUUGUGCACCGGCGGCGGCGGUGACUUGUACUUGUAAACCGGUGGCGGUGGUGACUUAUAGACCGGUGGUGGUGGUGGAGACUUGUACUUGUAUGGCUUUGUUGGUGGAGGAGGCGACUUGUACACCGGUGGCGGUGGUGACUUGUACUUGUAAACCGGAGUUGGUGGUGGUGGUGACUUGUACACUGGUGGAGGCGGUGAUUUGUAUUUGUACAUCGGCGUGGGUGGUGGUGGUGACUUGUACACCG
rnacentral:lncRNA from 1 species